UCAACACAAAAUAUGCUUGGGUGGAAAUUCUUUUCUCUGAAUCUUCUGCUCAGCCUGAAAACUUGAUUUUGAUAGAAGAGGAAGAAUUUUGCCUGGUUUUCUUGGCUUGAUUGAUUUGGUGAGCUGAAAGAAAGACACUGCUUCAUCAGAAUUCAAACAACAGAAAACAUCUCCCAGACAUCGAGUCAUGAAUAUGGAAUGACUUCACCUGACUUCACUUGAAAUUCACUUAAUUUUCAACUCUGUUGGCUAUGAGGAGAGUGUCUCAACUAAGAAGCUAAAAAGGGAAAGAAAAGAAAAGCAGUUAUGUUUUUUUCCCCUCCGGCCUAUACAAACACAUACACACCAAGGUGAGA
rnacentral:lncRNA from 10 species